ensembl:snRNA U7 U7 small nuclear RNA
UCACAUUGCAGCUCUUUUAAAAUUUGUCUAGCAGGUUUUCUGGUCUUUACCAGAAAGCCCCC